UGACCCCUGGGCUUAGUUGGUUAGAGUGUGGUGCUGAUAAAGCCAAGGUUGCAGGUUCGAUCUUCAUACGGAUUCAU